rnacentral:rRNA from 1 species
GCAGUCGAGCGGACAGAAGGGAGCUUGCUCCCGGAUGUUAGCGGCGGACGGGUGAGUAACACGUGGGUAACCUGCCUGUAAGACUGGGAUAACUCCGGGAAACCGGAGCUAAUACCGGAUAGUUCCUUGAACCGCAUGGUUCAAGGAUGAAAGACGGUUUCGGCUGUCACUUACAGAUGGACCCGCGGCGCAUUAGCUAGUUGGUGAGGUAACGGCUCACCAAGGCGACGAUGCGUAGCCGACCUGAGAGGGUGAUCGGCCACACUGGGACUGAGACACGGCCCAGACUCCUACGGGAGGCAGCAGUAGGGAAUCUUCCGCAAUGGACGAAAGUCUGACGGAGCAACGCCGCGUGAGUGAUGAAGGUUUUCGGAUCGUAAAGCUCUGUUGUUAGGGAAGAACAAGUGCAAGAGUAACUGCUUGCACCUUGACGGUACCUAACCAGAAAGCCACGGCUAACUACGUGCCAGCAGCCGCGGUAAUACGUAGGUGGCAAGCGUUGUCCGGAAUUAUUGGGCGUAAAGGGCUCGCAGGCGGUUUCUUAAGUCUGAUGUGAAAGCCCCCGGCUCAACCGGGGAGGGUCAUUGGAAACUGGGAAACUUGAGUGCAGAAGAGGAGAGUGGAAUUCCACGUGUAGCGGUGAAAUGCGUAGAGAUGUGGAGGAACACCAGUGGCGAAGGCGACUCUCUGGUCUGUAACUGACGCUGAGGAGCGAAAGCGUGGGGAGCGAACAGGAUUAGAUACCCUGGUAGUCCACGCCGUAAACGAUGAGUGCUAAGUGUUAGGGGGUUUCCGCCCCUUAGUGCUGCAGCUAACGCAUUAAGCACUCCGCCUGGGGAGUACGGUCGCAAGACUGAAACUCAAAGGAAUUGACGG